CAGGCUGGUUAGAUGGUUGUCA
rnacentral:ncRNA from 17 species